rnacentral:rRNA from 1 species
UACGUAGGCAGCAAGCGUUGUUCGGAGUUACUGGGCGUAAAGGGUGCGUAGGCGGUUGUUUAAGUUUGGUGUGAAAUCUCCCGGCUCAACCGGGAGGGUGCGCCGAAUACUGAACGGCUAGAGUGUGGCAGAGGGGGUGGAAUUCCGCGUGUAGCAGUGAAAUGCGUAGAGAUGCGGAGGAACACCGAUGGCGAAGGCAGCCCCCUGGGCGUAACACUGACGCUCAGGCACGAAAGCGUGGGAGCAAACAGG